rnacentral:lncRNA from 1 species
GUUGAUAUCAAUGUUGGGUGGUUUUAGAAUAUAAAAAUGUAACUUUGAUGGAAAUUUGAUUUCUAUUUUUUUUUAAAUGAGAGUACAUAUUGUUUUGACAUACUAUAAGUUUAUACUGAAAAAAUAACGACUGGUUUAUUUUACAAUCAGAGGAGGAUUUAGGGGGGCCUAGACCCCCCCCCCCUUUUGAGAAAAACAUUUGGUUGGUUAUUUAGGGAUACACUGAAGCGUGAAGGGAGCGAGCCGAGUCCUCUCUUAGGCAGCCAGUGGGCCCCCACUUAUGCAAAUUUCUAGAUCCGCCAUUGUUCGACACACUCUUUACUAAGCGUUACAUUUUAAUAAGGCUUUGUAAUGACUUAGUACUUCAUCCCUCUGUUAGUUGUCUGUAAAUCCUCAUCCCUCUGUUAGUUGUCUAUAAAUCCUCAUCCCUCUGCUCCUAUGCCAACAUCAAGCAAAGUUUUCCACACAAACUUUUGUUUGGGCUAUCUUGCAUUGAUGUGUUCUUAUAACUUCAAUUUUAAGAUGAGAACAAAGCAUGAUUUUUGUAAUCCAGAAGAGGUUCAAAUUACUAGGUUUCGCGGAAAUUCGCUCUAUGAUAUUGUUUUGUGUUUGUUCUUUGAGAUUCUUUUUUUUUGUCAUGGAGAACCAUUUCACAAUUGUUUUAUUUCAUUUUUCAAAAAACUGUAUAUGAAAUUCAAAGGUUGCAAUAUAAUAGCAUUUGGCAGAUGCACAAAACAUUAAUGAUAAAAAUAAAAUUUGAUCAAGGUUGCACUGUAAAAAUAUCACAUCAAACUCAAAA